rnacentral:rRNA from 1 species
UACGGAGGGUGCGAGCGUUAAUCGGAAUUACUGGGCGUAAAGCGUGCGCAGGCGGAUUUGUAAGGCAGAUGUGAAAUCCCCGGGCUUAACCUGGGAAUGGCAUUUGGGACUGCAAGGCUGGAGUGUGGCAGAGGAGACUGGAAUUCCUGGUGUAGCAGUGAAAUGCGUAGAUAUCAGGAGGAAUACCGAUGGCGAAGGCAGGUCUCUGGGCUGACACUGACGCUCAUGCACGAAAGCGUGGGGAGCAAACAGG